ACCCUCAUCCCCCAAAGACGUUGUGUUGCUUUGGCAAAUGCCUGUAAUUUUCAAUCCAUGAUUCAUAGUCUGUUUUUAACGCAGAUUUCAGUGGUUUGUAAGUAUCAGCUUGCCUUGGGGAUGGAAGGGAACCGGCAGACAAAGAGCCACGUUGCUGGAAUGGGCUCCAUGUGGCCGCUGACCAGAGCUGCUCUGCAGAGCAUCCACAGCUGCCAGAAUUACUGUGUGCUCCAGAGUUGGCUCUGUGCCUCAUAAAUGCUUGAUCUGUUGGCUCUUGAGCAGGAGCAUCUGCUUCAUUCCUGGAAAGAAACUUCAGUUGCUGACUGUCUCUGUGAUCUUGCAGGAUACCGGGGCUACGUUAAGGUGAAAAACUGUUUUCUGAAGUCCUCUUUGGUUCCCUAUGUGCAGUUCACUGUUGUGUCAGUGAGCACUGCUCCGUUAUUGCUUUAUCUGAUGCUGUGCUGUUGAUGGUGCAGUACCCAAAGAUCGGCGUAUUGCUGCCUUUGGUGGGUAUUUGGGGAGCUGUUAUAAUAACACGUUAUGCACUCUGAGUUGUAGCUAAGAGAAUUUUGGGGCUUCUGAUUCUUCUGGAAGUUGUUUAAAGUCAUGAGGGUGUUUCUUCUGCGUCUGCAUGGGUUUUAUUUUGUUGUGUUGAUUUUCUGUUUUCCCUUUUCUGUGGCACUUUGUGUUGUUGUUUGUCUAAGCUAAAAGAAAGUCCCGUACUUCAUAAACCUUGAAACGGAAACAUGGGAAUCCUUUCAAGUACCCUUCCCUGCAGUGAUUAUACUGCUGUGGUUUUAUCAAGGCAGAUUUCCUGUUGGAUUUCAAGUAUUUAUCAUUCAUAUUGAAACAGUACAAUGCAUCCAGUCACUAUGUUACGUAUAUUGGAACUUUUAUGAUUCUGUUACUCUUUACAAAAAAAUGCAGCUUGGAGGAAGUUUACAGCAUUAAACACAAAUGUUUCCCUGCCUGCUGUGAGCAUCCGUGUGGAUCCUGCAAUGGACUUAUUAUCAAAGUGCCUGCUUUGCUACGGGAAGAAGAGAUCAGUGGCACCCACUGCCAAGCGUGGUGAUGGUAAGGCAGAAAGUCAUUCAGCCACAGCUCUUGGCUUUCAGUAACCUGCUGGCUGAAGUUUCUAACAGCCCCACCAGGAGAGGUGUGACAGAGGACAUCUGGGGACAGUCCCGGCAGCAGCCUUGAAAUGCUGGCUGCUGUCUUCGGUGAGCUGUCAGAACGAGCACUUCAUUUUUAUUCUGAGCAUCCAACUGUGUGCUUUAUCAGUUGCUUCCUGAGAAGCAGUGAAAAAAGAAAUACUGAAAGUAAAUGCUGAAACAGAGAUAUUUUUUUUAAUUAUCUUUUUUAUCUCAUUAUCAAUAAUUGUAUGCUCUUUUGUGGUGUUUUGUCGUCUUAACAGAACAAGUUGGAUUUUUAGAUAUGUUAAUUUCUUUUAAAAUGUAGCAUUUUGGAAAUCUUAGGGAUUAUCCCAUCAAAUCAUGGUAAGCUUUUGUGCCUCAGAAUCCUACAGAGGUCCUGAAAAUCAGUUAUUUCUGCCUAAGAUGGCUGAACUCAACUCAGACCACUGUGACCGUAUUGCACGCUGUUACCAUGGAAUUCUUAUGGGCCUCAGGAAUGGUUUUGUGGAACACAGCUCUGGGUGAGAGUUUCAGUCAUUUCACAACCUUCUGUAGGUUUUCUGAUACAACCGGAAUGAAAACCAUUUUAGAAUAUGAUUUGCUUAUGGUAUUUGUGGAAGAAAUGAAGCUUAAAAAAAGCUCCUUUUCUUUUUCAUUCCAUUUCUGACGUUCCUGUGUUGUGCUGGAGGCUUUUAAUCUGAGUGCGUGUCUGUUUUGAGAGUGAGGUUUUCCUCGGUGGUUUCUCACUUUGAACAUUUGCAUAGCCAGUACCUGAAGCUGAGUUUCCUAGCUCAGAGUAUUGGUGCCUUCUUCCUUUGCCGGUCACAUCCACUUGCAUGGGUGAGAUGCACACCUUCUUCUCCAAGCCCCCACUUGUCUGUGCGUGGGCCACAACCUGCUUGGAGCCAUAGCAUUAGUAAACUAUUCUCUGUUUCGUUGGAUCUUUUAUUUAGCUACUUUCAUUUAAACAGCAAGGAUGUUGAAAAGUUGUGUCUCUGUCCUGGGGCACAGCUUGCUUUUCACUCCUGGUGUCCUCCCUUCAGGUGUUGGCUCCUCAGCAUCUCCUCCGAAGUGCUGCCUGUACCCUGGAGGUUGCUCUCAGGCUGUUUGUUGGGUGCCAUUUUUUUUCUUCUCUUCGUGUUUGGGGGCUCAGACACUGAAGCAGUUGUAUGUAUUAAAAACAAAAGCGUGUUUAUUGAUAUUGCUUACUUGUGCGUGAAGGAUCACUAAGAGAUGCUCUGUCCACCCACUGAGGGGGGUUCUGCAGCUGCCUGUGCUCAGGAGCUGUCGCCCAGCUCUCCUGGCCCAACUCCUCACCCACCGCUCUGAUUUCUCAGUGCAAUUUGUCUGCCAACUCCAGGGAGAAUCUUUCUGCAGUGGUUUUUCCCUCUGGGGCUGAUCUGAGAGGCUUUUUGGCCCUUGUUAGAGCUGACGUUUUCCAGAAGCACCAGGCCCCAGUCUUGGAGCUUGCUGUCACUAGCAAGCAUUUCAUACAGCAAGCGCGUUCUGCCUGCUCUGAGCAGCAAGGCACAGCCUGGCAGCCCUGUGGUUCCUGAUGCUUGUAGCAUGGGGAAGGACUAACGAGGGCCCCUGCGAGGCUGAGCAGCACCAAAGGGGAGGUGGGGCUUCCCUGGGAGGCAGCUUCAGGCCUCACACCUGGAACUUUCCAUUCUCCUUUGGUGCUGUGUGUUUGAGAAGCCCUGAAUUUUCACAGUGCUCAUGCAGAAGCACUGAAGGGCUCUCUAGUGUAAGCAGCCAGCUGGGCAUGUGCAGCUGUGUACGUUACCACCUGAUGGUCUGUCCCCUGAUGAUAGACAUAAAGAAAAUGCCAGAAAUGGUGGCAGACCUGCUGUGUAAACAGAAACCUAUAUCCAAAAGUAGAUUAACCUGGCAACAGCCCAGAUUUUUGUAGUCUAGACAAAAAAUAAUGUUAGAAACCUAUGCCAUUAGUUGCAGCCCUAAGGCAAGAGUUUUCUGGCCCUUUCCCAGAAGUGGGAAUUUCCACAGACUUAACUUUUUCUAUCCUGGACAGAAACAAGGAGUUAGAGCCCUUCUGUUCCCAAAAUCUCUUCUCGUUUGGUCAGGAGUUGCGCAUAGUUUUCCCCACUGUUUCACCUAUGAGCUUUCAGGAAGGCAAAGCCAGUAAUUGUGAUUGUAAUAAGCCUGCAGACUUAAUCACUUUGGGAAAGGAUGGUUGUCUUCCAGCAGCUGGAAGGCCAUAUUAGGGAUGUUUUUGUGCAUAGCCACAUCUUCUGCUGUUGGAGUGGGGCAGAGUUAAUUUUCUUACUAGUAGCUGGUACGGUGUGCACAGAGCCAGGGAUGUUUCAGCUUCUCAUGCUGCCCUACCAGUGAGGAGCUGGGGGUGCACAAGGAGCUGGGAGCAGGCAGCAACAGGACAGCUGACCCAAACUGGCCAAAGGAAUAGGCUAUACCAAGGCUCACUGUCCCCCACCUGCCCAGUGGGAUGAAGGAGAGAAUCUUGUCUUGUACAGCUGGUGAAGAGAGCAUCAGGUCCUUAGCUGGUCCAGGAUCCUGAAGAUAGAUGCCUCUGGUCAGAGCUAGUGUGCUUUUGGAAUCUACCUACAUGCCAAAUGAAUUAGAGUGGAAAAGAAACACAGUUUCCUGUGACUUUUUCUUUCUUGUGUCACUAAGUUUCAGGUCAAUGUGCUGCAUUCAAAAAUCCUAAUCCAGUUAGAAAUAACUUUGCCUACCUGUUAUUUUUUACUUAAUUUUCUGUUAAUAGCUGCCUUUUUAGGAAGUUCUGCUUAAUCUGUGAGGCUAAAGUUGAGGGAACUCACCUGGAACUACUCGUUCUUUUGACUUGAUCAGUUAAUUUUUGAUGGUUGUUGGUUGGAUCCAUGAUGGAUCCUGGGCAGAGAAUAACAUCCAGGCAAGAUGGUGUGGCAGCAGAUGAACUGAGCCACUGUCCUUGAUUACUGGACUGUUGAGGUCAGUAGUAGUUAUGUCAGCGCAGAAAUGGGGAUUCUGCCUGAGGGGAAAAGGUGCUGCUGACCUCACCAGUCCAGUUCACAAUGGAUAAGCUUGAGAUGGAUGGAAAACCAGGCAUGUCUGAACAGCAACUUCAAGAUCUCAAACAAGGGAGGAAAAUACAAACUUUUGUAUGUAGGCAUUCAAGAUGUUUUAGUCCAGAAGUUCAGUUACUCUGGGAAUAUUUUGAGCCACGUUCUGGGGUCUGGUUCUGUGCUGUGUAUUGUUUGUAGGUGGGAGGAAAAGUCAGGCACAGAAAGUAGUUUCUUUCCAUUGUAAUGAUUGACUAGAAUGUUCCUGGGAAUAAUUAUUGGUGUGUGUAGCAGAAAUCAGGGCACAGGAGCUCUUGCAUUAUUAUUAUAACACAAAUAGUGCAAACUUCUCUUUAGUUCCUCUCUUCUGGAAAGUGGGAAUGUACUUUACUAGAUCAUUUGAAAGCUUGUCUGGAAAGGUGCUGUUUAUCUUAAAGUCUGACUCUAGGGGAAGGUUGCCUACGCCUGCAUGCUCUUUGUGGUGACCUCUGUGCAUCCUAAUGUCCUGCAGGUUAAGGGCUUCUCUCCUUUCCUGCCCUAAGCCUGCAGCUUUAUUUGGGAAGAUAAACCAAAGGUUAGGAUAUUCAACAGCUUGUGUACUUCUGCAAGAAAAGAAAAAAGUUAGUUGUAAGGUGUAAUUUUUAGGUCAAGCUCUCUUGUUGUUUUGCUUGUGUCUGCUGGUGGUGACUUCUGAAGUAAGGAAAGAUUAGGCUUGUGCUUUGGCUUUGAUUCUGCCUGUCCCCUCCUCUUCUGAAUCUUCAUUCCCUGGAGUCAGAACCUGUCCGUUGUAUCUCUCCAGGGCCUCUCCCUGACUCAAAGUUAAUUACUUUGCCUGUCACCCAAGUACUAUCUGGGUGAUUAAUCAUUAUCCACUUAGAUGUGGAGUGCUCCCUUGCACAGAGGGAAAUGGUGUUCUGAGCUUACGUACGCAGCGGUGCAGAAAAGAUUUCUUCCUGGUAGCUCGAGACCAGCAGAGCUUUCUCUUCUGUAACAUAAAUUGAUCUUUAGGAAGAUCUGAGCCACCUAUUUAGAACGUUUAUGGUUAGUCUAUCCAGAAGUCAAUUCUGAGUAAUUCACCCUAUAAUAGUGAAACUUCUUAAGGACUUUAUUGUAUAAAUGCUGCUUUUCUUCCCCUUCUCAGGUUACAUGAAGCGAAGCUGUACAUGCUCGGUGUGAUGAGGACUUCUUGUGGACCGCUUUACAGUCAAACUAUUCCAUUCUUUGAUUUGUGUCUGCUUAGCAGCAAUGGUUUCUUUGUUGCCUAGUUUUGCCUGUAAGGGAGCUUCUUUUGAGCUGGGAUGUAGGGAAGCUACGCCUCCUACACUGGUCCCAAGAAGGGAGAACUGGAAGCAUGAGUGCUGAAGUAGCAAUAGCUGUACUCCAGUAACCCAUCUGCUACCCCUGGGUUUCCUGGCCAGUGGUGAUGAGAAGCAAUCUGUGAUCCAGGUGUCCCGGACAGUUGUGCUGUGAAGCAGGAAUCCGAAUGUCUGAAGAAGUGUGCGUAUGGAGGUAUUAAGUAAUGCAAUGCAAUUACAUGACUACGUGCUUUAAUUAGAAGUUACAUUCUGUGCUGGGGACAAAAGUGUAACGGAAGGAGGUGAUGCCGGUUGUACAGAUUUUUAGGAUGAUUGUUCUGGGAAUGAAUUCCACAGCUGUGCAGUAGAGGACAGGAGAAGAUGUGAAAAGCUGCUUUGGGGAAUGCAACAGUUCUCUCUGCUUCUUUAAAUUUAUCUCAAGUGUUAACGUAUGUUUCUUGGCUCAAUUCUUUCCUCUUUUUAUCAAGUAGGGAUGUAUGUUUCUCAGCUUAGAUCAUGUGGGAUUGUAUGGUCUAACACUUUCAGAGGGUAACCAGUUUUCAUCUGUGCUGUGGCAGUAAGAGAACUUCAGGAGGCCUGAUUCAGUGUUCCUUCACCGGCUUUCAGCCAAUGUGAUUCCCUGACAUUAUGGCAGCACUGAUUUAUUUGCCUCAUCAUCUGGAUAAAUGACUAAUUAGUACAGUACUUCAGAGAUGUGCAUCUGUUUAUCAGGUAGUCAUAGACUCAUAGGAAAGUAGGUAUGUAUGGUAGAUAUGGAUGUUGUACUGGGGUGCAGCUGAACAUACAACUUCAGGAAGAUCUGUUAGAGAGGUUUAUAAGACUUCCAAGCAGGUAUUUGAAAAUAAAGCACAUAGUACUAAUUUGGAAAUGUUUACAUUGGUCUUCUAUGACAUUCUGCUCGCAGAAAUGCUGUUUCUUUCUGAACCUAAAUGAUUCAGUUAGUUGUAGAGCAACAGAAAAAUGCCUGUGUGCAUACUUCUCAGUCUUGUGUAAAUAUGCUCCCAAUGUAGCUGAGUCAUUCAGAAGCGAUGUAUGUCUCUCCUUGGUUUAGAUUUGUGUUUGUCACACAUUACCAGCACUCCAAUACAUGUGUCCCUAAAGCAGUAAUGGACUGAGAAGUGUUUGAUCCGUCGUGUCUGCUUUUCACCGGUGCUCUGGUUUGGAUUUCUAUUUGUCAUGCAUGAUCAGUCACAAGAAUACAUACAUCCCUGAAGCGACAGUAAACUGAGAUGUGUUUGUUCUGCUGCAUUUCGUUUUUACAAAUGCUCUGUGUGUUCUGUAUGCUGGAAACUUGUCCUGUUAGGGAUUGCAGCCAUUGGUUUUCUAAGUCACGGAAAAUGUUGCCAGUGCAAACAGCUACUUGAGUUGCCUGCCUUGGGAGUUGGAGCUUGCACAGUGAGUGUGCUGUAGUAGCAAGAGAUCCCAAAAAAACAUUAUUUCCUACUGAUACAAAGGAAAGAGACAAAUGCCCUUGAAUUCAUUUUCCCACAGUGUGAAAUAGUGUGAAGCUGUUGUGCCGUCAUACAGUUUUGUAGUCUCAAGGUUGAAUUACAAUGAGCCGUGUGUUAAAAUAACUUAAAUACAUGCAGACGGUUACUUCACUCUUCCAUUCAUAGGGCAGGCUGACAUAAAAUGCAGCAAUAAGAAAAUGCCUGUUACGCUGCUGGGAGGCCUGAUGUGCACACAGUAAAACCCCCAAUGCCAGAUGUGCUGGGUUUUGUUAAGGAAACGUGAGACUGGUCUGUAACUUCUCAAUUCAUCGCUUCCUUGUGACUUGACUUUAAGUGACUGUGGCACUUCGUGCCUCCAUUCAUCAUUCUGUAAGGUGUGCCCAAUGUUUGUAUGCGUCUUAGGAAAGCAUUCUGGGACUCAUGAGUAACACGUUAUUUAAAAAUAAAAAUCUAAUUACAUCAGUCAUAAUCUGUUCAACACAACUGUUUCUGUGAAUGCAUACCAUAGCCUGAUUUUUAUUCUUUCAGUUCCUCAGGCUUCCUCUCCAGCCUGUGUUCUCCCUCUGCUCCAUCCCAUGUGCCUGGCAGUGCCCGGAUGGCAGCAGUCAGAGCCCUGUGCUCACUGUUGCCUGGUGCUGGAGCCCUGCUGAAGUGCCAGGUAUUAUUUGUUGCCAUUACAAUGAAUGGUUGUUACACAAUUCCCAGAUGGGUUUGUAACAGUAAGUAAUUCUACCUGACUGGAAACACCAGCAAUAUGUUGAUAGAUACAUACAUAGAAGUUAUCAUGUACUUGUCAUCAUCCUAAAAAAUAAGGUGGCUAAAAUCAACCCAGCUCUAUAAAUAGGUUUAUAAGAGGAAUCUCAGCGGAAUAAUGUAGACUUAACUUUCAGAACUGACACCUGUACUACCGACUGUUGUUAUUCUUCAAGUACUCCCAUGAGCCUUUUCUAUUCCUUAAAAGCAGUUGGCACAAGAUUAAUUAAAGGACUUUGCUGCUGAAUGCUUUAGGUAAUUUAUAGUUAAGUUUGAGUUUUACGCUCUGGCAAACUGAAAUGGUACUUGAAGGGUCUGUGUGGUUUAGCAGCUAAAAAGUCCUUUAAGAAAAGAGGGCAGUGUAAUUCAGAGAGAGCAGGUGAAUGCGGAUGUGAGCUUGGCUGUGUUGGGAAUGUGGGUCAUGCGGCACCUGAAGGUGAAGAGCAAUGGGCAUUUGCAGUGCUUGUGCAUUGGAAGCACAGACCCUGGGAAGCUUUCAUGCCAUUGCAGUAGGUCGCAAGCAUUAGAGAUAGGGAUUCUGCUUUCCCUGCUCCACAACUUUUCUACAUUUAGACCUGUUGUCAGCAGCUUGGCACUGGGUUAUAAAACUUCUUAAUAGGGAAAAUAUUCUAGUAUUCUUAUUUGUUUCAUUUCUUACUGUGUGCAAAUAUGAAGUGGGAAAGUAGGAGUGGGUAAUAAGGAACUCAGAAUUGCAUUCACCUGUGAGCUGUUUGGUGCUUAUUGCUAGUUCUUUGUGCUUUAUUAGAAGCUCUCAUGUCUGGUUUCUGUCCUACUCGUAGUUACCUAUAGUGCUCGGUUUAAUGAGUUCUUCUCCAGUGGAUAAUUAAUUCUUCCUCCCAGUGCUGCCCUUUUGCAGUACCAUUAGCAGUCCAGACCGUUUUGAUUUGGGGAAGGCAGACAUUUUAGAAAUGUAAAGAAAAGUGGUUUUGUUUUUUUGCACUUCUGAGUGAAAAUUCAAUUCUACAUAGCUAGGUUUGUAAUAAUUAAUAUUUCAACUCAAUCUUGCUUUACAAAAAGUGUAAUUAAAAGAUCAGAUGGAAUGUGACCGGAUUAUAGGGGAAAACUAAGAUGGAAGACACUUAUUACCACACAGUUUCAUUGGAAAGACAGUGGUGAGGAUUCAGAGCUCCCUCUCCACUUGAGUGUUAGGACCAUCAAUUAUCCUCAGUACAAACAUUCCUUUACAAAUGUUCUCUAUGAAGGGCAAGUAUUGCUGCAAGUGCAGAGCUUGUGAGGCUUGUAUUCCGGAGAGAUCUGGUCUGAAUUGUUUUUCUUGGUGCUGGUUUGGGGCAGUGGUCUUUUCACUUAAAGAGAGGCUCCCCGUAGUUUCUGUGCCUCAGAGUACAGGAAGAUGAGGCACUCACAGGCUGAAAGAUGGCACGCUUAAACAGCAGCACACUGUGUUGUCCAUUUAGUCAUCUUGAUUUACUGCAGCUGAUGCAGUAUAAUUCACAGGAUAAGCAGGUUUUGCCUUAAUGGGUAUUUCUUGCAUUUGUAUUAACUGGAAUGGGACGUUGUCAAAUAUACCACUUUGACUGCCAACUCGUAGUUCUUCUUGAGAUUGCUUUUUUUCUUUCAGUUUCAUGUGCCCAUGUCCAUUAAGAGAAGACUUCCAGAGGAGGGAAUCAGUACUGAUCUCUGAGUGACAGGAGAGUGCUUUGGGUAUCCAUCUCUACUUUGUACCAAUUAACAAAAGUGAAUGAGAAUGUCAGAAUGCCCUCCCAGCUGUGCCUGCAGGCUGACUUCCAGCUCUGUCUCAGCGCUCUGCUACCACUGUGCCUGGAGCAUGGUCAGGGCUGGGGAAGGGCACGCAGGGGAGGCAUGUGCUCUGACCCUGCUGUGAUCUGGGUUUUCUCAUCCUUGUCCUUUGAACACUAUUAUUAAACAAGGAGCUCUACGAAGCAAGUUUUUAAAUAAAGCAGUCCUGUUAGCUGGAUUGCAUCUGCAGGAUUACAUUAGAAGUGUCUAAGAGACUGCAAGUUGUCAGAAGCUGAAAGCCACGUAGGUUUUCUUGGGAUUUCUGCCUGCCUCCAGUUGCUCCCCCAAGGCCUGGAGCCUCACAGCCUUGUUUUUAGCAAAUUCUUUGGCCAUCCACUUCUGACAGAAAAUGCAGCAGUGAUUUCCUCCCACCUGCUCCUGAUUAGUUUUGAGACUCCUCAGCUUUUGUCUAUUAGAUAUUGGUAAUGGAGUAGUUGAUCUGUUCCUUUUUCCUUUUAGCCCUUGACAGCCACUGUUUGUCUUCCAUGGAUGCAACAGCCUCAUUCUUCACUUGUAACAUCUCCCUGUUGGCAGCAGAAGUGACUGAGGGAAGUAAAUACGUACCAAAAUAGGCCAAAGUACCCUUAGUAUUCCUUGACAGCUUGAGUGUUAUGCCAUGAGUCAUGGCCUUGCCCUGCAGCUGUGACUGCUGAUCUAGGCUAUCUCAGGUCCUUUCUAGGAAUAAACCCAUGUGGCAUGAAGUUCGGUACUGUUCAGUGAAGAUUUCCGUCU